CAGCAAGUCCAGUGGGAAAUUAACUAACAGGGAUAUUAAACAAUUCGCCAUGAGGGGACAGAGGACGACCUUCAUCUUAAUAGAGAAGUCCCUUGAGAUUGAAAUCUCUUUUCCGAGGUCGACUUGGCCAAGACAGCACACCAGUUACAACUAAACGAGAUGGGUUCACCAGUGACGGCAUGUCAAGAUCGGAACGCAAAGGCAGGCAGAAAACUGAAAACAGCUCUGCAGAGAAGUACGGUUGUUUGCAAGACAAGAGUGCCAGAUCUACAGGGGAGUCAGGAUUUUACCGGAGGUCCUGGGAAGCCAUCCAAUCCCGG